GAGACUGUAAAUCCACUGGGAGGGGCAAAGAACUCUGGACGUGCUGCAUUUUUAGGAGCUGUGACACUCACCGCGGAGGUUUGCAGUUUCACUCCUGAAAUCAGUGUAGACCACGAACGCACCAGAAGGAACAAACUCCAGACACACCGUUUUUAGGUAACCGUAACAUGUACCGCGAGGGUCUGCGGCUUCAUUCUUGAAGACGAGACUAAGAACCCACCAACUUCUGGACACAAAACCACCCCAAAAAGUGAGUUUCUAAAGGAGAAGCUAAAAAUAAAGACCACGAAAGUGUUGCCCAUGGUGAUAGCUCCAGACGUCCGGAGACGGUGUUCAGCGCUGCUGCAGGAGAGUGAACAGCAUGGAGCACUUGCUGCGUGUCUGGCCAUCUCAGGGACAGAUGUCACAUUUGUUGCUGUAGCUGGACUUUAUCUUCUAUUCCGUUGGUCUGCCUAUCUAGAAAGCAAAAUUUCAAAUACUGAGACCGAUAGAUGAAGAUGCUUUCGCUUCUUCCCUGUUUCAUCCAGUUGGGGACUAAGUGUCCUUCGGUUUGGACUGUGCAGCUCGGGUCACCUUCUCUGUGGAACAGCAAGUGAAGAAAGAGGCGCAGAGCCCUGUGUUCCAAACCCUGGAGACAAUUGAGAAAGUGGGAACCCAUUAUUCCCCAAGCCCAGCCAGCAAACCUCACCGAUGAAACAGAUAAGCACUUCCUGCAGGUGGGGCCGACACUGGCCAGGACACAGCCCUCUCUCUCACAGCAGUGUUCCAGGUUGUUUGUGCACAAAAUUUCACAAAGGUCAGAGCUCGUCUCUCCAAACCGAUGAGCUUUGCGGUUAACCUGAAUUCACUGAACUGGGAUUUAUUAUUAUUAUUCUAUUUUACCUCUAACAGAAGUUUAAGGUUCGUGUAAGUUUCGUUCCUCUCUGAUUGUAGGGGAGACGCCCAGAGCGCCAUUUGGAGGAGAGAACCUGGCAUCCUUUCCUUACCUUGAUUUCAGGUACCCAGCUCCUAGCAAAUGUGUCUUCCUCCCAGGGUUCUUUGGGGUAAAGAAUUUGGUGAGAAGGAGCUGAAUGUUAUGGCUGCGUUUCUCAGCCACUUGCUCGGAGCCAAGCAUCCUCUCACCCUUUCUUUCAACUGGUAGCCAGAAAAUACGGGUUGAGCAUCAGGGAUUCUCAACCGUGUCAAGCUCCAGCCCUGCCUGUUGUGACAGACGUUUCCUGAUGCCUGUUGCUCUCUGGAAUGAAGGUCAUGGGCAGUAUUACCCACACAGCCAUUCAAAAUCAGUCGGCUUCGUGACCUGUUGUGAAAGGAUGGCGAUUGCCGUGCCAGCACGUGACAUGGACUCGGAUGCCUGCGCACACAGGUGCACCUUCCAGAAGGUGAGGUCAGCCCGAGCGCCCACCGCCAUGUGAGUGCGCUGCUGCAGUGACCAGUUGCUGGAAUGUUCUGAACAGAGCCCAGUGCCACCCACUUUGAUGUGCGCUAUUGUUAGAUCUCCGGAAAAAUCAGAGUGCAUUAAAUUCCUGCAAAAA
ensembl:lncRNA LINC01511 long intergenic non-protein coding RNA 1511